rnacentral:lncRNA from 1 species
AGUCCUCUCCACCCCAAGGUAGGCAGCUUCCCGCUCCUCGUCUUGGGACCUAAACCCAGGAAGUCAAAUGUCCUUUUCUAGCAGGUCGCCUGGUUAGAGGCCGUGGACGAAGCGGUCCAGGCACAGCCAGCUGCAGGGCGCGGCCUCGGCGGCGCUGCUCGUGGCCCUGGUCAGUGAGCGCACUCACUCCUGGACUAAGCAUUAUUCUCUUGGAUUCACCUUUGCAAAGAAUUGAACAAAAUAGAAGCCAAAGAAGUAGACAGAAAAUAAAUCAAUCCACUCUGCUCAAAGAGCACACAGUCUAAUGAAGAUGAUGAACAUGAAGUCAACUUCGUAGUGUUGAGAGCACUGUUUCUCCAGAGCAGCACUUCUCAUCAGGGGCUGCACGUUAGACUUACCUGGGGAGUAUACAUAAGUUCAGAUGCCCAGGCUGUACUUCAGAAUCUCUGGAGCUCUAUGCAACUCAUUUUCAUCUAGCAUUACCUCUCCAAAACCUGAAUCUCCACAAGAAAGCCACACAGCAAUUAACCAGUGUUGCAAGAACUGCUUCUGUAAUAAAGGUGGGAAGACAAAUUGAUGCAACCCUCUUGAAAAGCAAUCUGGCAAUAUGAACCAAGAGCCAUGAAAAGGCUUAUGCUAUUAUAAUUAAAUGGCUGUAAUGUUGGCUGUAAAUAUGAAAUUUUCUUUCACACACCAAUGUUUUCAAGAAUGGCAUAUUCACAUGCAGUAUGUGAUGAAAGAAGCAGUAAAGGAUGCUAACAAAGCUAUUUCUUUGGACAAUCUGAACCUGAUGAGAAAAUUGAAGCCAACAGAAGUUAACUAACUUGCCUAAAAUAACACAGCUGUGGCAAAUUAGGACCAGAACCAAGGUCUCCUGACCUAAGUGCUACUCCCACCAUACUACAUGAUCUGCUGUUUAAAAUUUUGGUGAGCUUUAUAACAUAAAUAAAACUACAGAUGUGAAGGACUACUGAAA